UACGGAGGGGGCUAGCGUUGUUCGGAAUUACUGGGCGUAAAGCGCACGUAGGCGGGUUCUUAAGUCGGUGGUGAAAUCCUGGAGCUCAACUCCAGAACUGCCUUCGAAACUGGGAAUCUUGAGUCCGGGAGAGGUGAGUGGAACUGCGAGUGUAGAGGUGAAAUUCGUAGAUAUUCGCAAGAACACCAGUGGCGAAGGCGGCUCACUGGCCCGGUACUGACGCUGAGGUGCGAAAGCGUGGGGAGCAAACAGG
rnacentral:rRNA from 1 species